rnacentral:rRNA from 1 species
GACGAACGCUGGCGGCGUGCUUAACACAUGCAAGUCGAACGAAGUGGCGAACGGGUGAGUAACGCGUAAUAAACCUGCCCUUCAGAGGGGGACAACAGUGGGAAACGACUGCUAAUACCGCAUACUGAAGGAGGGGAUUGCGUGUGAUUGGCUCGUUGGAGGGGUAACGGCCUACCAAGGCGAUGAUCCGUAGCCGGUCUGAGAGGAUGAACGGCCACAUUGGGACUGAGACACGGCCCAGACUUCUACGGGAGGCAGCAGUGGGGAAUCUUCCGCAAUGGACGACAGUCUGACGGAGCAACGCCGCGUGAGUGAUGACGGCCUUCGGGUUGUAAAGCUCUGUUAAGCGGGACGCGGUACCGGAAUAGAAAGCCACGGCUAACUACGUGCCAGCAGCCGCGGUAAUUC